rnacentral:snoRNA from 1 species
AACUGGUGGAAGAGAAAUCUAUCAGCUCUCCUCAUGGAGAACCGAUCGGAUUCUUGCUAAUGCUGCUUAACUUCUACGAAAUUCUGGUAACAGUUCAGCGCUCGUGAGGCAGAGUCUCAAGGAAUCACCGCUUUCUGGAACUCACUUCUCCUCUGUUUCGGCAGGGUUUUGAGUCGUAAGUCCUGGAGUUCGAGUGGUUGGUUGUUGCUACUUUUAGUAGAUGAGACAGAAGCGCCCCGCUGACGGGUACUGAGAUUAAGUAAGGUGCAUGGUCUUGAACUCUCCCACGUGUUUUCGGACAUUUGGGAUCGAGUUCGACUUUCUUCGUUGUCACUUUACCGCGGUAUAUUCCUGAACGCUGUGUAGGCUCUAUGGGCCAGUUAUCACUUGGGUAAAACCAUACUGCUGACAUUU